GAGUCAUUUUUGUGUUGUCGUUUAACUCCGUCUGUAAGUGGACUUGUUACUGGAAAAGAUAGCAACUUUUGAAUUUUAUAACGUCAUGGAAGAUGUGUCACCUGAAAAACUUAACUCCAGUCGAAUGAAGAGGGAGCGAAAUGAAAGGCGACGUGUGUCUGUGAACUUUAUAAUGGAUAUGUACAGCUUUUUGAUGCCCAGUGGUAACCAGCCUUCCAUGUGGCUAAACAGAUGCCAGUGUACCCAAAUUCUGAGACACAAUUGGAUGUUCUUUUCUUCUGCUUUUAAGAUUCCCAAUUCGAGAUGAUGUGCAGUUCAUAUUAGAUUUGCUAUUUCUACAGUUACAGUGAAAUAGAAGAGCUCGGUCGUGUUAUGGGGCAGCAGUUAAAGAAGAAGGACGGAGAGAUGUGUGCCAUGUUGAAGUAGCGGCUGGCGCUCCUGCCUGGCACUUCUAGAAUCCUCCAUCUCAAUCUCUGGUCUGAUCUGCUGUGCCUUUGCCAAGUGAUCACGAGUUUAUUGCAGUGGUGCCCCCCUGCGUCUCCACUGUCUGUUACAUCAACUCCAACUGCCUGUGACAGAAGAAAAGUUCACAAGACGUCCUGAAAUGGAAUUGUGAUUGGAGUGAGACGGCCACAAUCAUGUAUGCUGGGAUGUGCAGAGGGGGAUGUUUGGGCUUUGUCUUGGGACCCCCAGAGGUUUAUUAUCUCCAGUGUCCUUGAAGGCUGCAAGUUUGUCUUUGUCCCCAGCCAUUUGACCAGGCAGUGUAUUUAUUACAAAGGACCAGGACCCCUCCAUUUGCUUCUUAUCUAUACUAAUUAA